rnacentral:rRNA from 1 species
GAUGAACGCUGGCGGCGUGCCUAAUACAUGCAAGUCGAGCGAACAGACGAGGAGCUUGCUCUUCUGACGUUAGCGGCGGACGGGUGAGUAACACGUGGAUAACCUACCUAUAAGACUGGGAUAACUUCGGGAAACCGGAGCUAAUACCGGAUAAUAUAUUGAACCGCAUGGUUCAAUAGUGAAAGACGGUUUUGCUGUCACUUAUAGAUGGAUCCGCGCCGCAUUAGCUAGUUGGUAAGGUAACGGCUUACCAAGGCAACGAUGCGUAGCCGACCUGAGAGGGUGAUCGGCCACACUGGAACUGAGACACGGUCCAGACUCCUACGGGAGGCAGCAGUAGGGAAUCUUCCGCAAUGGGCGAAAGCCUGACGGAGCAACGCCGCGUGAGUGAUGAAGGUCUUCGGAUCGUAAAACUCUGUUAUUAGGGAAGAACAAAUGUGUAAGUAACUAUGCACGUCUUGACGGUACCUAAUCAGAAAACCACGGCUAACUACGU